UGGUACUUGAACUGAUUAGGAACGGAAUUCGGCACAAAACUAACAAAAACGGUGCGAUCUCUCCCGAAGUAAUGCUUUUACUAACACUGCGUUUCUUUGCAACUGGCUGCAUGCAAAGAACUGGCGGUGACCUGUGUGGCGUUUCAAAAAGUUCUUCCUGUCGCGCAAUAAGGAGAGUGUGUCACAACAUUGCAUUGUUAAGACAACGAUUUAUAAAAGUCCCCUUGGAA